rnacentral:snRNA from 1 species
GGAUGUGAGGUGAUCUGGCUGCAACAUCUGUCACCCCAUUGAUGGCUAGGGUUGAUUUACUGAUCUGGCUGGCGUCCCCUUCAUCCCUCACAGCUCCAUGUGUGUCCCUCUUGAAGCUGCAUGCUCAGUCGAAGAGGAUGACCAUCCCAGAUGAGGAGGACUGUUCUUCAGUCAAAGGUAUACGAAACUGUGCUCCCCUGCUAGAACCUCCAAACAAGCUCUAAAUAUGUUGUGUCUAAGAUUAAUAUAGAUAUUCCUCAUUUCUUUGGUUAAUGUCAGUGCAA